GUGAUUGUACCGUCAGGAAAAUUGAUAGUCUUGAUGCUUCCAGCACCUCCAUCGCCUUGAACUUCAAUGCUUUUGAUAGCUUGUGGCAUCAACUUUGGGAUCAAGUUAUGAGAAUCAACAAUGGAGGCCUUGAAUAUUCUUUUGGGGGAAAGUGGAGAAGUGUUCUCCUCAGUGAAGGUGUUGACAGCCAUAAUGUUUUGAUUCUGAGAAGAAAAUAAAAGGGUAGUAUUUCUUGUAGGUGGAGAGCACUUGUUUGAUGAAACAAAGAAAGGGGAUAUCAGAGUUUAUAUAGGAACUUGGAAAUGGUCAUCCAAUUAUAUGGACUUGUCUUUUGGAAGGAGAACCUUGGAGUACCUGGUGAAGUUGUUACCAUAUGACCAGGAGAUACGGGUUCAAGCCGUGGAAACAGCCUCUUGCAGAAAUGCUGGUUAUGGCUGCGUACUAUAGACGUUGUGGUACGGCCCUUCACCGUACCCCGCGCAUAGGGGGAGCUUUGGUGCACCAGCAUCAACGACAUGCUCUCCCGCUAAUUCUAUGUAAACAGUCAAAUUCAGCAGUUGUCAAGAGAGAACUGAGAGUUUCAGAAGCUAUUUCCAAGAUGCUAUUUGAUGUGUGUAUGAAUUUUCACAUCAAUAAUUCCAUCUGUCUGUGAAGACUCGAUGCUCUGGAGGCUGCAAUUUCUCCUCAGGUGUGAUGCUGAUUCUUUUUAUUCAGGUACCAAACACGUGAAAAUAUUAUGUAUGUUUCUUAGGUGGUGAUGAGAUUUGAAGCUCUAAGACUUUUUGUCUGAUCUGAUACCAUGUUAAAAUUGGCUGAGUGUCUCGUUUAAAAGUUGAACUAUUAGAGAGACCACAGUUUAUCUAUUUUAUUAUAUUUUGUCUCAACAAUUUCAUUAUCUGAAGUCAUAUACGCUUUGACUAGAAGCGUUAUGUUAGAAGAGAAACUGUCACUGUUACUAGAGUGAUCACUUCCCCAUUUCUCUUUUUUUUUUGACUCA